rnacentral:rRNA from 1 species
UCGAGGAUCUUCGUCAAUGGGCGCAAGCCUGAACGAGCGAUGCCGCGUGCGCGAUGAAGGCCUUCGGGUUGUAAAGCGCUGUCGAGGGGGAGAAAAGCCCCGCAAGGGGUUUGAUCUAUCCCUGGAGGAAGCUCGGGCUAAGUUCGUGCCAGCAGCCGCGGUAAGACGAACCGAGCGAACGUUGUUCGGAAUCACUGGGCUUAAAGGGCGCGUAGGCGGGCUGUCAAGUCUGGGGUGAAAUCCCGCGGCUCAACCGUGGAACUGCCUUAGAUACUGACGGCCUCGAGGGAGGUAGGGGCGAGCGGAACUCUCAGUGGAGCGGUGAAAUGCGUUGAUAUUGGGAGGAACUCCGGUGGCGAAAGCGGCUCGCUGGGCCUUUUCUGACGCUGAUGCGCGAAAGCUAGGGGAGCAAACGGGAUUAGAUACCCCCGUAGUCC